UGCGUAGGCGGGGCAAUUAGUCAGUGGUGAAAUCCUGCGGCUUAACCGUAGAAUUGCCAUUGAUACUGUUGCUCUUGAGUAUAGUUGAGGUGGGCGGAAUGUGUAAUGUAGCGGUGAAAUGCAUAGAGAUCACACAGAACACCAAUUGCGAAGGCAGCUCACUAAGCUAUAACUGACGCUGAGGCACGAAAGCGUGGGGAGCGAACAGGAUUAGAUACCCUGGUAGUCC
rnacentral:rRNA from 1 species